rnacentral:lncRNA from 1 species
GAUGGGCUCUUUGUGUGCACAUCUAAGAAUUACUAUAAAGCAAUUGGUUAACAUGUCCAGACCACGCUAUUAAGUUGGUUAACAUGUACAGAUCAUCUUAAUUUUCAAAGAUCAUGGGCUAAUGGGCAGAUAAAGAGCACCCAAGCCUGCAGGAGGGGAAUAUAAGCCAACCCAAGGCAUGGCCUAUUUUGAUGUGGUAAAGGAAGAUGCUGUGUAGGAAGGAGCCCCAAGGGACACAUGGAGGCCUGGUCCUGUGGCUUGCAGGCUCUGGUUAGUUAACCCGGCUCCUCUGCCAGCUGGAUUCGCCCUCCGUGCUCAGAAAAUGUCUGCCGGGAAAGCAGGGCCACGGACAUGCUCUUUGCUCGCCAGAAAGCUCCUGACUCAGCGUUUUCCCUCUGGUACUAGCAGAGCCCUCCGGGACAAGAAGGGCACGAACGGGGCCAGUGCUGCGUGGUAGCCAGUGACCUGCAGAUCUGUUUGCUUCUGUUCCCUUUGGCCUGCAGACUGAUGAACAGGGUACAGCCUGCACUCUGAGCCCUUAAAGAGGAUGUUGAGUGGGCCUCGGGAACUAGUCACCCAAUGGAGAUCAAGCUGCCGUUCCCAUGGUGAUUCCACACUGAGCCCUGUGCCCUGGGAACUCACCUCCUCCCAUUCACUGUAACCUCCAUUAAGCAGAAACAAAAGAUUAAUACGGCAGAAGCCAUUUAAUGAACUCAGAGCUGGCAGCGGCUUUUUUCCAGAGCGGAUUCCUGGAACAGCAAUGCAGAGGCUUCCCCGCCUCUUCCAGGACAGCAAGGGCGUUCAGCUGUCUGAUCUCUCUGGGCUGUCAGACAUCCAUGCAGCAAAUGGGCCCAGGCAAUCUCGUGGGUGUGGGGAAGACCCCUUACCUCUUUGUCUUUAUUCAGGUCAUUCUCUCACCUCACCAGAAAGGGAGGAGAAGAGGGUCUCAGGGAACUCAGCCUAGUGGCUGGCAGCUUUGGAGCUAUUGCCUGAGUCAAGGUUCUGAGCCCAUAGCGAGUCCAUACUGAGAUGUGCUGGGAUGAAUAAACCGGAUGGGACUGAGAAAGAGGGUGGAGUAGUCUCUGAAAGAUGAAGGAAACAGGAGGACCCUCACCUAGACUUCACAAAACAUCAAGGAAAAGAACUGAAGUUAUCUUGAAAGACAUUAUAGAAACUGGGCAAAGAGAACUGAGUCUCAUGGAGAUUAUUCUGAUAUCCGUGAUGGUAACAUGUCAGCAUGAGAGACAUAAGUUGGACAAUGAUUCGGACCCAACCAGGAGUAAAGGGGACACUCCCCAAGAUUCAUAGCUAGGGGACCAGAGACAGAUAGACAUGAGUGGGUUGAGCUUGGGAGGUGGACUUGUGUGGAAGCAGAAGCAGAAGAGAAAGGGCUGUCUGUGUUCACUGAUGUGUAUUGUGCUGUGCAGCUGGGAAUUUUAGUGUGAUGUAGACACGAGUGCUGAGAAUUCCAGGAGAAGACAAUGAAUUUUCUCAAGCGGCCCGUACAGAAUUAUCCUUAAAGCCAAGAGGGGCUGGGGUUUCUGAGAAGAAACUGCUCUCAAGAAGUAUAGUAUAGACUACAUG